UUUGGUAUGAAUUAUCUCCAUGUUCCCUGUAACCCACUUUAAUAUUAUCCAUUGCCUCUUCUGGCAUCUACUGUUAAGGGUAGUAGACUUGAUGGACUCAGCUUGGCCAGAAAGCAGCUCAAAGCUUCAGCAGAUGAUUUUGCUUUACGCAUUUAGGCCAGGGGAGGAUUUAUUAAUCAUUUUUUGUCUUUUCCAGGAGCAAAUGCUGCACUUGUCCUCUAACCAGACAGUACAACACUGAUACGGAGAUAUAUUAGAGCUUUUAUUUUCUAUAGAGCUGUUACUGGUAGCUCCUACUCCAUCUUCUUGGUGGGUAACUAUAUUUCACGGAUGGUUGUGCAUAGCUGUCAAAACCCUUCAUUACAAAAGCAAAACCUAUCUGUGUAGAAUGGGAUCCUUAAAAGAAAAAAACAAACAGAAAAAAAGAAAUAUAGCAAAUCCAUGGAUAGAUUUACAUUUCCAGGUAAAGUGAACUUUCAGUUUUGUAAACAGUGAAGGACAUAAAUGUAUUAACAAAAAUCACUGUGGUUUGAAAGAAGAACAUUAGUAAGCAAGUAUGGUGAAUAAAUGUACAAUAUUAAAAGGUUAGUAUGAAAAAUAUAGCUGCACCUUAGAGAUUGUUCAGGUGAUCCUUUAAGACCACUGUACUCUGGAGACUGUAUGUGUGCAUGCAAAGGGAACUACCUGCGUCCCUUUAGUUACCAGAUCUUUUACAGAAAGCAUUUUGCAGUGUUAGGAUCAAUAUAAUGGACAAUACCAAUUAUUCCCCUAUUCCCUUUCUUCCUGGUAAAGUCAAUUCAUGUGAUUCAUAGUUUUUAUAAGUGGGCAUGAAAUUCUGUCUCAGGCCAGGCCCAUAAUACAAAGUUUUGUCAGCACAGCUAUGUGUGAAUAAACCCGCACUCCCUAGCUGGCAUAGCUAAGCCAGCAAAAUCCCCGAUGCAGACACAACUAUGUUGACAGAAGAGUACUUCUGUUACCAUCACUAAAGUGGUGUUCUAACACUGGCAGAAAAACUCCUUUUGGAUAUGCUGUGUCUACACUAGGGGGAGCACUGCUGGUAUAGCUAUGCCGAUACAGCUAUACCCCAAUACCUGCAACACUUCUGCAAUAUA